rnacentral:rRNA from 1 species
AUUGAACGCUGGCGGCAUGCUUUACACAUGCAAGUCGAGCGGCAGCGCGGGGGCAACCCUGGCGGCGAGCGGCGAACGGGUGAGGAAACCAUCGGAACGUGCCCGAGAGUGGGGGAUAACGCCGCGAAAGCGGCGCUAAUACCGCAUAUUCUCUGAGGAGGAAAGUGGGGGACCGCAAGGCCUCACGCUCCCGGAGCGGCCGAUGUCGGAUUAGCUAGUUGGUGGGGUAAAGGCCUACCAAGGCGACGAUCAGUAGUUGGUCUGAGAGGACGGCCAGCCACACUGGGACUGAGACACGGCCCAGACUCCUACGGGAGGCAGCAGUGGGGAAUUUUGGACAAUGGGCGCAAGCCUGAUCCAGCCAUGCCGCGUGAGUGAAGAAGGCCU